CAGGCAUCCUCCCUGCGACACUUCAGUGAAGACCUUGGAGAGGUGAAGUCCCUUAGUCUUGGUAUGAAGGAAAAUGUGUUUAUUUUCUUUUCACUCCUAUUUGGCAGGUUACAGAAUUCUAAGUUUAAUUCUAUCUUCAGUAUUUGCAGAUUAUUCUGUGCUUUGUCACCAUUUUAGAAAUUCUAUCACCUGGUCUUUUUUUUUUUUUUAAUUCCCUCUCCUCGUCUGUUACUCCUUGUGUUGGAUAACAAACCCCAUCAUCUUGCAAGAAGCCACAGAGAAUGAAAAAAAACGAGGUACUGGAAAACAUGAAGAUAAGAAGAAGGAGAGGAGAAGAGAGAGAGGAAAGCAUGAGGAGGUACACUUGCAUCCAUGGAAAAGGGGAUGUGAAAACGGAGAUCCUGGGCCGCAACAAGUGAGAGGAGUCGAUGCCAAAGGUGAGGCUUGAACAGAAGAGCAGAAGUGAACAGGAUGGAGAGAGCACAGUGGAGGUGGCAGAGAGGGAACAACUAAUGCAGAAACAGGGGAGACCAUGGUUCACGUGUGAGCAUGCUCAGUGGUGUCCGACACUUUGCAACCCAUGGAUUGUGGCCCACCUGGCUUCUCUGUCCAUGGGGUUUCUCCAGGCAAGAAUGCUGGAGGGGGUUACAAUUUCCUCCUCAAGGGAAUCUUCCUAAUCCAGGGAUCAAACCUGUGUCUGUCUCCUGUGUCUCCUGAAUUGGCAGGAGGACUCUGUACCACCGAGGCACCUGGGAAGCCCAUGGCUCAGUUUAGGAAUGUGAAACUAGUUUACUGUGAUUAGAGUAUAGCAAUGAAGAAAUUGGUUUUAGGUGCUCCUGAAGAAAGACGCUGGAGCAGCCGUGAAGAGAUACCCCACGCCCAAGGUAAGAGAAACCCAAGUAAGAUGGUAGGUGUUGCGAGAGGGCAUCAGAGGGCAGACACGCUGAAACCAUACUCACAGAAAACUGGUCAAUCUAAUCACACUAGGACCACAGCCUGUCUAACUCAAUGAAACUAAGCCAUGCCAUGUGGGGCCACCCAAGACAGGCGGGCAUGGUGUAGAGGUCUGACAGAAUGUGGUCCACUGGAGAAGGGAAUGGCAAACCACUUCAGUAUUCUUGCCUUGAGAACCCCAUGAACAGUAUGAAAAGGCAAAAUGAUAGGAUACUGAAAGAGGAACUCCCCAGUGUUGGUUACUACGAGUGAAAUGACACAGAACAUACGAGACAUACGAGACAGACACAAGAGACAUACACUCUGGCCAGAGGGACAAGAACUGUCUGCGCCAGUGAGCUCGCGGUUUAUUUAUAUAUAUCCCCUCUGGGCAGAAUUCCAGACUGUAUGACCAAACUUGUUCAGUACAGCGCAUGUGCACAAAUGUUAUCGUACAGCAAAAGGGAGUGAAAUUCCGGCCUACUGCAGAGUCUGUCCAGAGCCCUUAUCACAAGAAGGGAAUGUUCCCUUAUUUGCAGGGGACCAUUAAUCUCAAGGCUGUGUCCAUCUCCUUGGCAGAACAUCCUGUUUGCAAGCAGCACAUCUCCACUUUCCCUAUUAUGGCUGCAUUAACCCUUCACCCAG
ensembl:lncRNA